rnacentral:tRNA from 1 species
AUAAUUUUAAGUUAAGUAAACUGUAAGCCUUCAAAGUUUAAAAUGAUUAUCUAAUCAAAUUAUG